GGCGGUGUAGCUCAGUUGGCUAGAGCACUCGGUUCAUACCCGAACGGUCGUGGGUUCAAGUCCCACUGCCGCCACCA
rnacentral:tRNA from 1 species